rnacentral:ribozyme from 1 species
GGGCAACGUAUACUCAUACACCUCCACGUGGUGCACCCUGGGCAACGUAUAUUCAUAUGGCAAAAAUGUCUAU